rnacentral:rRNA from 1 species
AGAGUUUGAUCCUGGCUCAGGAUGAACGCUGGCGGCGUGCUUAACACAUGCAAGUCGAACGAACCUUCGGGUUAGUGGCGGACGGGUGAGUAACGCGUGAGAAUCUGCCCUCAGGAGGGGGACAACAGCUGGAAACGGCUGCUAAUACCCCAUAUGCCGCGAGGUGAAAUGAAUUUCGCCUGAGGAUGAGCUCGCGUCUGAUUAGCUAGUUGGUGUAGGUAAUGGCUCACCAAGGCAUCGAUCAGUAGCUGGUCUGAGAGGAUGAUCAGCCACACUGGGACUGGGACACGGCCCAGACUCCUACGGGAGGCAGCAGUGGGGAAUUUUCCGCAAUGGGCGAAAGCCUGACGGAGCAACGCCGCGUGAGGGAUGAAGGCCUCUGGGCUGUAAACCUCUUUUAUCAAGGAAGAAGAUCUGACGGUACUUGAUGAAUAAGCCACGGCUAAUUCCGUGCCAGCAGCCGCGGUAAUACGGGAGUGGCAAGCGUUAUCCGGAAUUAUUGGGCGUAAAGCGUCCGCAGGCGGCCCUUCAAGUCUGCUGUUAAAAAGUGGAGCUUAACUCCAUCAUGGCAGUGGAAACUGUUGGGCUUGAGUGUGGUAGGGGCAGAGGGAAUUCCCGGUGUAGCGGUGAAAUGCGUAGAUAUCGGGAAGAACACCAGUGGCGAAGGCGCUCUGCUGGGCCAUCACUGACGCUCAUGGACGAAAGCCAGGGGAGCGAAAGGGAUUAGAUACCCCUGUAGUCCUGGCCGUAAACGAUGAACACUAGGUGUCGGGGGAAUCGACCCCCUCGGUGUCGUAGCCAACGCGUUAAGUGUUCCGCCUGGGGAGUACGCACGCAAGUGUGAAACUCAAAGGAAUUGACGGGGGCCCGCACAAGCGGUGGAGUAUGUGGUUUAAUUCGAUGCAACGCGAAGAACCUUACCAGGGUUUGACAUCCUGCGAAUCUCUUGGAAACAGGAGAGUGCCUUCGGGAACGCAGUGACAGGUGGUGCAUGGCUGUCGUCAGCUCGUGUCGUGAGAUGUUGGGUUAAGUCCCGCAACGAGCGCAACCCACGUCUUUAGUUGCCAGCAUUUAGUUGGGCACUCUAGAGAGACUGCCGGUGAUAAACCGGAGGAAGGUGUGGAUGACGUCAAGUCAUCAUGCCCCUUACAUCCUGGGCUACACACGUACUACAAUGCUACGGACAAAGGGCAGCAAGUUCGCGAGGACAAGCAAAUCCCAUAAACCGUGGCUCAGUUCAGAUCGUAGGCUGCAACUCGCCUACGUGAAGGCGGAAUCGCUAGUAAUCGCAGGUCAGCAUACUGCGGUGAAUACGUUCCCGGGCCUUGUACACACCGCCCGUCACACCAUGGAAGUUGGCCACGCCCGAAGCCGUUACUCCAACCCUUGUGGAGGAGGACGUCGAAGGUGGGGCUGAUGACUGGGGUGAAGUCGUAACAAGGUAACC